ACCUCAUCCGGCUCGCCUGCUGAUUGCUUCGGAUCUUCAGAGAGAGUCUGUUUGAGGGGCUUUGGGUGAUAUUGCGUGCUUUGCGCAAUUAGAUUCCGCGGUUCCUGCAAUUCCGCUGCUUGUAUGCCCGCACUUUCGAGCUUCAGUGACAAACGGUCCUGCCGUUGCCAUAGCCCAACCUGUGUUUCUUCAUUUCCAAUCGUCUCACUACUACGAUCAGAAUCAUAGCCUCCCGAACCACGAGAGUCUACCGACAUCGACCGAGCGGAUAGCGACCGCACAGAGGGUGUUCUGGCAAUGUUCGUAUUCCACAUCGAUUGUUAUGGGCGGUAUAAGCAGGAUUGAAUAAAGAGCGCAAGAAGAAGUGAAAAGAAGUCUAGUAGUAGAAGUCUCUAGAACUCAAAAUACUAUCCACAAUCAGUAAAAAGUUGGGGAGACCCGUGUAGAAGUAGCUGUUGGCUGUGUGUCCCCUGAGCUCU
rnacentral:sRNA from 2 species